GUGACUGGGGGGCGGAGCUUAUCGGUUCUCCUGGGAAGUUCGGCAGGUACAGACCAGAGGGAACCCGCCCGGCCGACGUUAGUAGGCUGUUAUCUUUUUUGGUCAGGAAAAAAGGUCUCCAAUUUGAGCAAGCGGGGGGCGAUCCCGGCGUCAGGGCGGAUGGAAUCGUCGAAGCGCGUGUCUGACUGGUCGGUGGACGAGGUGUUGGAGUGGGUGGAGCAGCAGUUCCCGGGUCAGCAAAGCACGCUGCAGACGGCCUUUCUGCAGCACGCAGUGUCAGGCCGAGCGCUGCUGCGGAUGAGGGGGCACCACCUACACCACCUGGGGGUGGAGGCCCCGGCCCAGCAGGGCAUCCUGCAGGACAUCCUGCUCCUCCGGGUGCAGGAGGAGCUGGACAAUCUCAACGACAUCUUCUCGGAGAAAUGAGUUAGUGGCAGCAGGCGAGGUGCAGAGAUGGAUUCAUCCUUGUCCAAGCAGCAGCUUCCGAACAGAACGCCAAAGAGCUCCAAAAUUGCGCAAACAAUUCUCCAUUGUUGAUCCGUUUUUCAUUACAUUAAAUCGUUUUGAUUG
rnacentral:lncRNA from 1 species